rnacentral:rRNA from 1 species
CUUGAAACACGGACCAAGGAGUCUAGCGUGUGCGCGAGUCAUUGGGUGGAAAACCUAAAGGCGCAAUGAAAGUGUCAGGGGGGCCUUCCACGGAAGUGCCCCUCGCAGGGAUGAUGGGCCACCGGCUUUUUAGUCGGAGCCCCGCAAUUCCGGGGCGUCUCGUUCUCAUUGCGAGUUGAGACGCACCAGGAGCGCACACGCUGGUACCCGAAAGAUGGUGAACUAUGCCUGGCCAGGACGAAGCCAGGGGAAACCCUGGUGGAGGUCCGAAGCGAUUCUGACGUGCAAAUCGAUCGUCUGAGCUGGGUAUAGGGGCGAAAGACCAAUCGAACCAUCUAGUAGCUGGUUCCCUCUGAAGUUUCCCUCAGGAUAAGCUAA